AAGCUUUAGAAUCGACUCUCGAUUCCUAAGUGAGUUGUAUCAGAGAAUCGACUCUUCUGGAAUCGAAUCCCAGCCCCACUGUGUUCAAUCGGUGAAAUUACCUCAGGGUCAAAGAUUGAGACGCAGGGUAAAAUGAUUUCCAGUAAGCCGUACAGAUUGUUUACCACAGAAACACUGGCAUUAUUAUCAUUGUCGCUCGCAACGGAAAGAUUUCCAUUCACCUCAAAAAAGUUUGGACACUUUGAAGAUGUGUCCAGAAUAAUUGGAGAACUCAGCAAUGAAGGAUUUCAAGCUGAAGAAAAGCAGAAGAAUUCAUUCACCAAUAUCAGGGCUGGACCUUAGAGACGAGAGACAAGGAGAAAACAGGACUGAAAAGAAACAAAGUCUUAAUCUUGGUUAGACCUCAGCGCUCUGAAGUAUAUCGGCGUCUGAUUCUUACUUUCCCACAGAGUUUAUGCUUCUAUCUCUUGAUUAAUCUCAGUCUUUGUCUCUUGGUUAGUCUUGGUCUUUAGGUCUCUUGACAGUCCAUCCUUUAAGACUGAUUUUUGGCUGAUUUUAAAGUCUACAGAUUUGGCUGAAAUUCCUGGUAUAUAGAGCUCUGAAUUUUGCAGUGAGAGCUCAGUAAGUAUUUCCUUACACAGCCCUUAAUGUGGCCUGACAGUAACACACUUUUUGUGUCACUCUGGCUUGCUAAUAGGGGAAUAAAACAAGUUUUGUUGCUUUGAUAAAUCGCUAGGCUACAAGUUGAACUAUCUAAACCUCUACACCAUGCUAUCCAUCAUAACACUUUUAUGCAGAAUGUUGUGUUCUGUGUGCUGAAGUGUGAAUAUUACAGUUCAGACUUUAUUGUGCCAGAUGCACACUGAUACAAGAUGCUUAUUAAAAUCACAAGGAAGAAGAACCUUCCACUGAAUUAAAGUCCCUAGUGUACAGGAUACCGUGAGAGUUAGAUGUCAGGAGAUUCUUCUGAGGUUUUUUGUCUCCACCUGACACACUAUACCAGGGGUGAUACAUUGUGCAAAUGAUGGGCUUCAGUCAUUAAUAGUACUGUAAGAUUUCAUAAUAACAUGAGCUUGAACUUCACUGGAAAAUAGUGAGCAAGAAAAGAAACUCUUGCUCUUUUGUUUUAGGAGCAAACAGUGAAACCUGACUGUUAUGACUUAUGUUUGAGAUCAGUGAAAAUACUUCUCCUAUUACGUACCAUUAUAACUGUGCUAACUAUCUUUUUGUGACAUCGGCAUGUCGCACACCUGCUAACGUCUAAGAGAAUAACGAAAAAUAACGAAAACAGCAUUAACCAAAAAAAAUUCGCACCAGAAUUGCUAUACAUAUCACAAA